AGUAGUUUAACAAAAACAUUAGCUUUGGGGGCUAGAAAUCUCUCGGAGCUUUCUGA
rnacentral:tRNA from 1 species